CUAAAGGCGGCGUAAAACCAAACUCAGUCAGUCAGUCAUUCAUCUCUACACCAUAAAGAUCUCCUGUCCAUUUUCAGACUUAACACAGAUGUCCUCUUCAGUGUUAAUUAUACAUGAUCAGUUGUGCUAGUAUUAGUAUCUGCCAGGCCUCAUGUGCAUACCAGGAUCAGGUGGUCAGGUUCGCUGACUUGGUUGACACAUUUCAUUGCAUCCCACCUGCGUAUAUCGGUACUCAUGCUGUUGAUCACUGGAUUGUCUGGUCCAGACUUGAUUAUUUACAGACCGCCCCCAUAUAGCUGGAAUAUUGCUGAGUUUGGCAUAAAACAACCAACCAACCAACCAUCACGUGCAUACACAAUGUGAGAAGCCCCUUUUCCCUGUUGGUGUAACCAACAUAAGUAUUUUGGGCUGUGUUUUGUUUCUAUAUGCGAUACAUUGUAUGUUUAUUUGCCAACAUUGUGCUGCCAAGAUUGAAGGAUAAUUACACUUCAUAGUAGUGUCAUGUGAUGUUCAAAACAUUGAUUUUCUUGAACAAUCUGAGAAUAAAAUGUUUUAACUAUAAA